rnacentral:rRNA from 1 species
UACGGGGGGGGUAAGCGUUGUUCGGAAUUACUGGGCGUAAAGGGCUCGUAGGCGGCCAACUAAGUCAUACGUGAAAUCCCUCGGCUUAACCGGGGAACUGCGUCUGAUACUGGAUGGCUUGAGUUUGGGAGAGGGAUGCGGAAUUCCAGGUGUAGCGGUGAAAUGCGUAGAUAUCUGGAGGAACACCGGUGGCGAAGGCGACAUCCUGGACCGGUAUUGACGCUGAGGCGCGAAAGCCAGGGGAGCAAACGGG